CCUCCUCCGCCUUAGGUACCAUUUCCUAUGGGCCAGGGUGACGAACCGAAUGUUAAAGGAAUUUCUCAGGAUGGGACCUUCGACUAUUGCUGGGGGAAUGGAUCCGAGGACUGUCAAGUCUUAGAUCUCAGCCUUAGAGAAAAUUUUCAAGGUCAUGCAUUGCCGUGACCAUCAGAAGGUUUUUCUAGCAACUUUAGGGAGAGUCUGAACGUUGGUGGACGAUGAACAAAUUGGCAGACCAAACAGUGAGUUGGGCAAUUUUGGGCGCAGUUUCUGGUACUAUGUAAAGAGAAGUAUAUUCCGUAAUUCAUUCUAGAUGUUAAGUCGACCGAAUUUCAACAUUUGAAACAGCGAGGUUUAUAUGACCGUGACUACUUACGAGGCAGAAUUCACUAAUCUUGUGGAGCCGCAUAUCAUCAGGAAUCAUAUGCGGUGCAUACUUCGCAAGAUUAGUGAAUUCCGCCUCGUAAGCAGUCACGGCCAUAUAACCCCGUUGUUUCAGCUGUUGAAAUUUCGUCGACGUAGCAUCCAGAAUGGAUUGCAGAAUAUACUCCUCUUUAAAUAGUAUCAGAAACUGCACCCAACUCACUUUUUGGUCUGAUGGUCACGACAACGCAUGACCUGAAAAUUUUCUCUAAGGCUAAGAUCCAAGACUUGAAGUCCUCUCCUUCCAUGGCCGGCUAAACUCCUAUUCUAGGGUUAGAUGAAGGUUUCUUCCAAGUAGUUUGAGUUUUGCUUGUACUUUAAGGUUUAUUCAUUUGUAUCUUAUGUUGUAUGCCUAAGGAUAUUUUCAUUUCUAAUGGAGGGUUUGAAUGUUUUCCAUUA